rnacentral:lncRNA from 1 species
UCUUCCUUCCCUUCCCUCCCUUCCCUCCCUUCCCUCCCUUCCCUCCCUCCCUCCCUCCCUCCCUUCCUUCCUUCCUUCCUUCCUUUCUUCCUUCCUUCCUUCCUUCCUUCCUUCCUUCCUUCCUUCCUUCCUUCCUUCCUUCCUUCCUUCCUUCCUUCCUUCCUUCCUUUCUUUCUUUCCCUCCUUCCUUUCUUUCUUUCCCUCCUUCCUUUUUUCUCUUUCUUUCUUUCUUUCUUUCUUUCUUUUUUUUUCUGAAAUUCUUUCUUUCUUUCUUUCUUUCUUUCUUUCUUUCUUUCUUUCUUUCUUUCUUUCUUUCUUUCUUUCUUUCUUUCUUUCUUUCUUUCUUUCUUUCUUUCUUUCUUUCUUUCUUUCUUUCUUUCUUUCUUUCUUUCUUUCUUUCUUUCUUUCUUUCUUUCUCUCUUUCUUUCUUUCUCUCUUUCUUUCUUUCUUUUUUUUUUUGCUAUAUCCUUUUAAACCAGUGGUUUGCUUUUAAUUUGUUCCCCCAAUCCAAGCCCUUAAUAAUCUUCCCUUUCUGGCCCAUCCCUUUGUGUUCACUUCUUAUUUUUUCAGGGUCUGUUAAGUUCUCUCCCCCCUCUCUUUCCCUCCCUUUUUGUACCCCCUGCCCCCCAGCCCUUAGUUUUCCCUUCUUUCUUUCCCUAUAGAGUAAGUUAGAAUUGAAUAUCCCAAUGGAUCUAGAUGCUCCUCUCUCUUAGAAUUAAUUUCACUGAGAGUAAGGUUUAAGUAUUACCUAUUAGCACUCUCUUCCUCUCCUUCUUAUAAGAGUAUUCUUCCCCUCCCCUUCCCAUGUGUAUCUUUGUGUGAUAAAGAUUAUCCUAUUUAUUUUAUUUCUUCAAGUAUCUCUUGGUGCCAUCUUCAAUCCCCCCCUACCUUUUUCUUUUCUUUUCUUUUUUCUUUUUGCAUAUCAUCUUAUAGCACUUAUUACUCCAACCUUUUCCUGGAAAUGAAUCCUCUGAUUACUAUAAUAGUGAAUAUAAUUUUUGAGUUACAAAUAAUGUUUCCCCAUAUACUAAUAUAAAUAAUUUCAUCUUAUGGAAGCCCUUAAAGAAGAAUGUUUGUAUAAAAAACAUUUUUCCCUUUUCCCUAUCUUUCUUAUUUACCUUUUCAUGUUUCUCUUGAUCUUGGUGUUUGGAUAUCAAACUUUCCACUUAGUUCUGGUCUUUUCUUUACAAAUACUUGGAAAUCCUUUAUUUUGUUGAAUGCCCAUACCUUCCACUGGAAGUAUAGAGUCAGUUUUGAUUGGUAGGUGAUCCUUUGUUGAAGACCCAAUUCUCUUGCCUCUUUGAAUAUCAUAUUACAAGCCUUGUGGUCCUUUAGUGUGGAAGCUGCCAGGUCUUGUGUAAUCCUGAUUGGUGCUCUUUAUAUCUGAAUUGUUUAUUUUUGGCUUCUUAUAAAAAUUUCUCCUUAGCUUGGAAGCUCUUGAAUUUGGCAAUUACAUUCCUGGGAGUUGUCUUUUGAGGAUUUAGUUUAGAGGGUGUUCUAUGAAUGCUUUCAAUGUCUAUUUUGUCCCCUUGUUCAAGAACAUCAGAGCAGUUUUCUUAGAUAAUUUCUUGUAGUAUGAUGUCAAGAUUUCUGUUUAUUUCUGUGUUUUCAGGUAGACCAAUGAUUCUCAAAUUGUCUCUUUGUGCUCUUUUUUCCUGAUCUGUCAUCUUUUCAGUGAGAUAUUUUAUAUUUUCUUCUAUUUUGUCAGUCUUUUGACUUUGCUUUAUUAAUUCUUGCUGUUUUGCAAGAUCAUUGACUUCCAAUUGCCUAAUUCUGGUCUUUAAGGCUGGGUCUCCUUUUUGGUUUGGUCUAUCCUGCUUUCGUGGCUUCCAACUCUUUCUCCAAUUGGGAGUUCUUGUCUUUUAAACUGUUAUUUUCUUUUUUGAACUAUUUCCCACUUUUCUUGCCAGAAGGCUUCCAUCUUUUUGAUAAGCUCCAAUUUAAAUUUUUCAAGAGCUUGUGGACAAUUUCCACUAUUUUUAAAAAAUCAUUUUGUUGCAUUUAUUUGAAUUUCCUCUUAUAUUUCCUCUGUAGUCUCAGCUUUUCCUUCAUAAAAAUUUUCCAGGGUCAACUCCUUGUUUUUCUUAGUGGAGGGAGGUUGUUGUUCCUGGAGACUAUUUGCCAUCAUUGUGGAGGUUUUUCCUUCCAUUUUUAGUCAGAAAUCUGAGUGAGAUGGGCAGGCUUUCUGUGUAUUCCUAAAUUACAUAGACAUUUUUAGGUCUCAUAAAUUUUUUGGAUUGCAAGUUCUCUCUCUCUCUCUCUCUCUCUCUCUCUCUCUCUCUCUCUCUCUCUCUCCCUUUGUCUCUUACUUCUCUUUCCCUCCUUCCUUUCCUUGUCUACCCCUUGAGAAAGCAAGCCAUAUAACUAUUACCCUUAUGAAGUCAUGAAAAAAGUAUGUUCACAUUAUCCAGUUUCAAAAGAAAAAACACACACACAAAAAAGCCAAGAAGAAUUAAAACAGUAAAAAUGUAUGUUUCAAUCGGUUCUCAGAGUUUAAAUCAGUUCUUUCUUUGGAAGUGAAUAUCAUUCAUCAUCAAGGGUCAAUUUUCUCUUUGAUGUGAACUCACAGUGGGCAGUAAUUGGCAGUAAUAGGAACAGGUCCCUCAUACUGUGAAAUUUUGAAUUUCUCACUAGUUAGCACUAGUUAAACAUCAACUACAAAAUAUGUAGUUUCAGCAUUAGUCAAGUAUGAAUUGUAGAUUGUUCAGUUAUCCACUCUGUGUAAUAGAUGUGUAACAUUCUAUAUUAGGCAUCAGCUUUUUAUUCUUAGAAAUAAUUAAUUACUUAGAGUGGUACUCCAAUGUUCUACAUCCCUCCCCACUCCCCAACUGCCCACACCAUAUUUCCAGUCCAGAAGGUCAGCAAGACCUCUCCCACAUUGACAAAUGAUGACAAGGUGGACAAUGGAGGAGCAUGGUAUCAGUGCACUGGGGACUCUGGCAUUCCAGAAGAAUUUCCCAAUCUUGCACAUGCUCUUUAUUCACUAUGGCAACAAUCUCCAAAACAUACUUCUACCUGAGUUCGGAAGGGAGAUGCUAAGCCACCGGACUGCAAUAAAUAUGUCAACCCUGAUCCA